AGUUUGAGAGACACACACACACACACAGCAGUUUGAGAGACACACACACACACACACAGCAGGUUGAGAGACACACACACACACACACAGCAGGUUGAGAGACACACACACACACACACAGCAGGUUGAGAGACACACACACACACACACAGCAGGUUGAGAGACACACACACACACACACAGCAGGUUGAGAGACACACACAGCAGGUUGAGAGACACACACAGCAGGUUGAGAGACACACACACACACACACACACAGCAGGUUGACACACACACACACACACACACACACAGCAGGUUGACACAGACACACACACAGCAGGUUGACACACACACACACACACAGCAGGUUGACACACACACACACACAGCAGGUUGACACACACGCACACAGCAGGUUGACACACACGCACACAGCAGGUUGACACACACGCACACAGCAGUUUGAGAGACGCACACGCACACAGCAGUUUGAGAGACGCACACGCACACAGCAGGUUGAGAGACGCACACGCACACAGCAGAUUGACAGACGCACACGCACAC
rnacentral:lncRNA from 1 species